rnacentral:lncRNA from 1 species
CUAAAAUACACACAAAAAUACUCUCUAAUCUACAACAAAGGACCUUAACUCUGUAUUUACUUUCCUACUCUUGCUCCAGAGAGCUGAGAAUCUGACCAAUCAGCAAAGACAAUGUGCUCACAUAAUUUGUUCUGAUGCAUCUUUUUGCACUUUCAAUUUUCUUGUGUUUAACCAAUCGAACCAAAUCAGAAAACGCUCUCAGUUAAUGAACCUGUUAACAGAUUCAGACCAAAGAAUUAAACAAACCCUUAUUAUCCUCCUCCAGGUUUCUGGCUCGGGGAACCAGAGCAUGGCACAAGACCGAACCAGCAGCGAGCAGAUGCUUCACUCCCAGAGUGAUGAGCUUCAACCCAACAGCCUGAAGUGGAUAACUCCAGUUCAGAGGAGAGGAAGCAUCGACAGAAAUGCUGCUCAAACAUCCAAACACAGCAGCUCCAUAUCCUCCAUCACCAUCACCUCCAGGAAGGUUGUUCGCUCCUCAAGUCUGCCUGGGAGGAGAACCUCCAGCCCUUUAACUAUAAACAGUGCAGACCAGCAGCAGACUGCAGACUCUGCUAAGAACAUAAACCCCCAACAGUCUAGACCAGUUCCACCACAGAGGAAGGCAGUGGUGGUUAAAGUUACUGAACAUAGAGAAGAAACCAGAUCUGUUCUGCAGCCUGGUGAUAAAAACAGCCUCACCACCGAAGGGAGCUGUUCUACACCCUUUUCUAAUGUGACCUCCAAAAGAAAUCAGGUUUACGCUACCUCUGAUCUGACCAGCCUCGACUUAGAGAGCUAUACUACCUCAGCUCCAACCUUCAGAGAUACCCCUGAUCCCUCCAAUCCCAGACUGACCCCCAGAGCUAGCACCAGCCGUUCCCCAGGGUCCUCCACCCCGACCUCCCAAGAUACCCUUCAGCCAGCAGUGGUGCUCAGGAGAAAAGCCACCAUUGUGAAGGUGGAGCAAAGAGAGAGCUGCAGGAGGGAAGCCAAAGGAGGAUUGGAACACAGGCAUAGCUACAUCGAAGGCUUCCGAGCCACCAGUCCUGUAACGUACACAAGCAAUCCAUCACACUCUAACACCCAACCACUGCUGCCUAAUGAACCCAGCGCCUCAGCAUCUCACAGCCGGGCUCUCGACUCCGUACAGCCGAGCAAGAGUAAUGAGAAGGAGAAAGAACUCCAUAGAUCUACACUAUCCUUCCAGCUGAGCAGCCCGUCCAACAGACCACCCCUGCAUCACCGACACAGCCGGGAAGGUCCCCGGCGCCGCAGGCCCGCUAGCUGCUACGCCAGCGUUUACAGCCUCUCUGAGCCGAGCGCUGGCGCUGCUAAAGAUCCCGGAUUUCAGAGCAUGACUUCAGCGCUUCCCCAAAAGACAAAUAUUGACCCUGUGAGCUUCACUGGCAGCAGCUCAAACAGGCGCUGGAGCACCGGCGGCGCAGGGAGCUGUGACGAGAUUUACCCAGAGAGAGACAGCUCUGCUGGGGACGGGGGACAGAGACACAAGGACCCUGCGCUCCUGAGGAGCCAGCAGCCUUUCACUCUUAUCAAAGUACCAGAAAGCUCAGCUCAUGCCACCCAUGACGCUGUUCUGGCUCUGAAUGCUGCCGCAGUUAUAGCCAAUAUAAAGCGUCAGAGCCUGCAGAGAAAGAGCUCACAGACCCACAGCGGCGCCAAGGGAGAGAUACCACCCGCAUUACAGAGCCAAACUGCAGUUUAGCGUGAAUUCGGCCAAGAAUCUUUUCCAUCUGCUGCCAGUCAGUCGCAGCAUCACUGAGCAGCCAGAGCUCUCAGAGGAAAGCGCCGCAUCCCCAGCUCUGAUUCAUCAGCCAACAGAAGCCUGAAACAGCCAGCAGAAAACAGGAGAGAUGAGGCGGAAAAGCAAAAUCUACCUGCUCAGAAACAGCAUGGAUGAUUGUGUUCUCUCUGGCUCUGGCUGCUGAUGCAGCAUCACUCAGGAGUAUUUGAACUCACGAUCCUCGAGCUGUAGUGUCAGCGCCCUAAUCUGAUAAACCAUAAAUAUGAAACUGUUAAAAACUGUUCCCUACUUGUAAAAAUUCAGAUAAAUAAGGUCAGAACUUGUGAGAUAUUGAUUAUAGUGAAUUUAUAUUAUUUAUAUUUUUAUAAUAAGUAUUUAAUAUA